rnacentral:rRNA from 1 species
CCUACGGGGGGCAGCAGUGGGGAAUAUUGGACAAUGGGGGCAACCCUGAUCCAGCCAUGCCGCGUGUGUGAAGAAGGCCCUCGGGUUGUAAAGCACUUUCAGUGAGGAAGAACGCCUGGUGGUUAAUACCCAUCAGGAAAGACAUCACUCACAGAAGAAGCACCGGCUAACUCCGUGCCAGCAGCCGCGGUAAUACGGAGGGUGCGAGCGUUAAUCGGAAUUACUGGGCGUAAAGCGCGCGUAGGUGGCUUGAUAAGCCGGUUGUGAAAGCCCCGGGCUCAACCUGGGAACGGCAUCCGGAACUGUCAAGCUAGAGUGCAGGAGAGGAAGGUAGAAUUCCCGGUGUAGCGGUGAAAUGCGUAGAGAUCGGGAGGAAUACCAGUGGCGAAGGCGGCCUUCUGGACUGACACUGACACUGAGGUGCGAAAGCGUGGGUAGCAAACAGGAUUAGCUACCCUUGUAGUC